rnacentral:rRNA from 1 species
GGAAGUAAAAGUCGUAACAAGGUCUCCGUUGGUGAACCAGCGGAGGGAUCAUUACCGAGUUUACAACUCCCAAACCCCUGUGAACAUACCAAUUGUUGCCUCGGCGGAUCAGCCCGCUCCCGGUAAAACGGGACGGCCCGCCAGAGGACCCCUAAACUCUGUUUCUAUAUGUAACUUCUGAGUAAAACCAUAAAUAAAUCAAAACUUUCAACAACGGAUCUCUUGGUUCUGGCAUCGAUGAAGAACGCAGCAAAAUGCGAUAAGUAAUGUGAAUUGCAGAAUUCAGUGAAUCAUCGAAUCUUUGAACGCACAUUGCGCCCGCCAGUAUUCUGGCGGGCAUGCCUGUUCGAGCGUCAUUUCAACCCUCAAGCCCUCGGGUUUGGUGUUGGGGAUCGGCGAGCCCUUGCGGCAAGCCGGCCCCGAAAUCUAGUGGCGGUCUCGCUGCAGCUUCCAUUGCGUAGUAGUAAAACCCUCGCAACUGGUACGCGGCGCGGCCAAGCCGUUAAACCCCCAACUUCUGAAUGUUGACCUCGGAUCAGGUAGGAAUACCCGCUGAACUUAAGCAUAUCAAUAAGCGGAGGAA